rnacentral:tRNA from 1 species
GCGGAUGUAGCCAAGUGGAUCAAGACAGUGAAUUGUGAAUCCACCAUGUGCGGGUUCGAUUCCCGUCGUUUGCC